UACGUAGGGUGCGAGCGUUAAUCGGAAUUACUGGGCGUAAAGCGUGCGCAGGCGGUUUUGUAAGUCAGAUGUGAAAUCCCCGGGCUCAACCUGGGAACUGCAUUUGUGACUGUAUAAGCUAGAGUACGGCGAGAGGGGAGUGGAAUUCCGCGUGUAGCAGUGAAAUGCGUAGAUAUGCGGAGGAACACCGAUGGCGAAGGCAA
rnacentral:rRNA from 1 species